UACGAAGGGUGCAAGCGUUAAUCGGAAUUACUGGGCGUAAAGCGCGCGUAGGUGGUUCAGCAAGUUGGAUGUGAAAGCCCUGGGCUCAACCUGGGAACUGCAUCCAAAACUACUGAGCUAGAGUACGGUAGAGGGUAGUGGAAUUUCCUGUGUAGCGGUGAAAUGCGUAGAUAUAGGAAGGAACACCAGUGGCGAAGGCGACUACCUGGACUGAUACUGACACUGAGGUGUGAAAGCGUGGGGAGCAAACAGG
rnacentral:rRNA from 1 species